AUGUCUUCUGGGUCGAGGAGCUCAUCCCGCGGCGCGGAGUGGAGCAAAAAAGAGAACAAGCUGUUCGAGGAUGCACUCGCCUACUACGGCGAGGGCACGCCCGACCGCUGGCUCAAGGUGUCCCGCGCCAUGGGCGGGACCAAGACGGCCGACGAGGUGCGCCGCCACUACGAGAUCCUUGAUAGCGACAUCAAGCUGAUCGACUCCGGCAGGGUUCCUUUCCCCAAGUACAACACCCAGGGCCGGGGGGCUUGGAACUGA
rnacentral:rRNA from 1 species